GGAGCGGUCAGAGCAGGAGUUGCUGGGAGUGCGCGCUGUCUGAUCACAACGCAGCUGCGGAGGCCCAGAGCUCCGAUCGUCAAGACCUCGGCCCAAGGCCUUCUCUGAAUCUUCACGCCACCGGAGGACCAGGGAGCCGCCACACAGAGUUAAUAGGUUUCUCCAGAAGUAAGUUGGAAUUGAGCUGGGAUUGUUUUAAAUUGAUACAUUGCUGAGUACUUCAGAACUGCAUUGCUUUCUAAAAACAUGUUUCUUCUUACAGGUUCUAUUUUUGAUUUGAAUUUCCUUCAUCUACUGUUGAUCAAUGAUUUAUCCACUUAUUCAUCAUUGAAUGAAUGCUGACUUGUUAUCCCUCUACAUCCAAUAAGAGUAGAGUGAUGCUUGUUUUGCUCAAUUUUUUUUGCCAGCGUUUCCUAUGUCAGUUGAAUUGCAAGUGGAGGGGCAAGACUUAUGAACCUAUUCUCAUGAUAUCUUAUUCCCAGUAAUCUGUUAGACUUGAGAAAAAGCAAGUUUGUAAAACUAAAAAGGGAAAACAUGAUUUGGCAUAUACCAGUCUGAAAUCACACUGAAGACCAAGCUUUAUCCGGUGAUGUACAUAUUUGCCUAGACUUUAGUUACUUUCUUGAUGUAUAAAAAGGCUUGGCAAAAUGUGCUUGAAACCAACAGUCUCAAAAAUUUGGGAAAUCCAACCUUAGAAAUACGAAUUUUGUGUGCCAGUAUAUAAGGACAAUAUUAUUCAUCAAAUGGACAUGAGUUAAGGCAUAUAACUAUUUCUAUUGUGGUUCCUGAACACAAACUGGGGCUCUCAAAAGUAGCUCUUUCAGAGUACAAUUUCAAAUCAUCCUGGCCUAAUUUACAGAUUUGCUCACAUAAGGUAAUUUUAAGAAAAAUUCAGUAAUUCAUUAUUUAAAGAAUUGUUAAUGAUCAUGAAUGAAAGAUCACUGCUUAGCCUUUGCAUGGACCACACUCACAUGACUGUUAGUCUUGUCAGUGUAAAUUAAUUUCUCUUAGGUUAAGAAAAUAAAAAUUGCAAACAGUCAUUGUUAUGUUCAGUUUUCAUAACAGCUUUAUAAGGUAACAAUACCCUAGUUUACAGAUAAGGAGAUAAAGUAAACAAAGUUAAGUAACUUCCACAAUGUCAUAUUGUUAUUGACAGUGAAGACUUGAAGCCAAUUCUGAGAUUCCAAAUUAUGUUAUUAUUAACCAGCACACUAUACUUCCUCUUCCUAAGUGUAUUAAACUUUACUGGCUUUUCUCUUAAUCUAUCUUGAUAUUUUAUAAGUAGUCAUGUAUUCUCUAGCUCCCUUGGUGUUGUGCAGGAAGCACAUUAGUUCUUAUUUGAUAAAGUAUAUCUUUGCUAUUUAUUCUGGAACAGGUUACAUAAAAACACACAUAUAAAAAUUAGCUCUGUCACAAUAAUUGAAAUUUAGAGGCUACUCUUUCUGACUUGUAAAUUUAGCCCAAUAUUUGAAUCUCUCCUUCUAUACCUCUGUUCACAGUGGCCUAAUAUAUUUGAUGUGCCUCCAGGUUCAUGAUUGCAUGGGGUAUUUGUGCUUCAGGUGCUGUGGAGGAUGUCUACUUUUUGUUGAACUACUUCCCAGAAAUCUCAGGAGUCAAUAAACAGUGUGCACCUCACCAAGGAAUUUGACAUUUUUUCAAAGUGUCCUUGAGAGCAAAACAGAGUAAAGAGAGCUAGAUGACAAUUGUCACAUGGCAGAUAGGCUAGUAAUUUAAAAUAACAGUGUUAAAAAAUGUGCAAAUCAAUGUAGACUGUUUUCUAACUUUAGUUCUAUUCCACUGAAGUUCUUUUUAAUGACUAGCAUGACAGUAUUAAAUAACAUGCCUAUAUUAUUGCAAAUAAUAUGCAAUUAGAAGACAGAAUAUACAAAAUAUUAGCAAUAUUCCAAUGUUCUUAGAGGUUUGGAAAAAAUAACCAAAUCUAGUAGAAUUUAAAUUGAAUACAAUUAAA